rnacentral:rRNA from 1 species
GCGCGCCUACCAUGCAAGUCGAGCGGUAGCAGGGCUAGUAGCAAUACUAGCUGCUGACAAGCGGCGGACGGGUGAGGAACACGUAGGAAUCUACCCUCAAGCGGGGGACAACCAAGGGAAACUUUGGCUAAUACCGCAUAAUCUCGAGAGAGUAAAGUUACCCGCAAGGGCGACACUUGAGGAGGAGCCUGCGUCCGAUUAGCUAGUUGGUAGGGUAAAAGCCUACCAAGGCAAUGAUCGGUAACUGGUCUGAGAGGACGACCAGUCACACUGGGACUGAGACACGGCCCAGACUCCUACGGGAGGCAGCAGUGGGGAAUAUUGGACAAUGGGGGCAACCCUGAUCCAGCGAUGCCGCGUGAGUGAAGAAGGCCUUCGGGUCGUAAAGCUCUUUAGGUUGGGAAGAAGGAUAUUCGGUGCAUAGCCGAGUAUUUUGACGGUACCGACAGAAUAAGCACCGGCAAACUCUGUGCCAGCAGCCGCGGUAAUACAGAGGGUGCGAGCGUUAAUCGGAUUUACUGGGCGUAAAGGGCGCGUAGGCGGUGAGAUGUGUGUGAUGUGAAAGCCCCGGGCUUAACCUGGGAAGUGCAUCGCAAACUAUCUGACUAGAGUAUAUGAGAGGGUGGCGGAAUUUCCGGUGUAGCGGUGAAAUGCGUAGAUAUCGGAAGGAACGUCAAUGGCGAAGGCAGCCACCUGGCAUAAUACUGACGCUGAGGCGCGAAAGCGUGGGGAGCGAACAGGAUUAGAUACCCUGGUAGUCCACGCCGUAAACGAUGAGUACUAAAGGUUGGCAGGGGAACCUAUCAGUCUUGAAGUUAACACGAUAAGUACUCCGCCUGGGAAGUACGGCCGCAAGGUUGAAACUCAAAUGAAUUGACGGGGGCCCGCACAAGCGGUGGAGCAUGUGGUUUAAUUCGAUGCAACGCGAAGAACCUUACCUACCCUUGACACCCUGCGAAUCCCGAUGAGAGUUGGGAGUGCCGAAAGGAGC